AUUGAACGCUGGCGGCAGGCUUAACACAUGCAAGUCGAACGAGCGGCGGACGGGUGAGUAAUGUCUGGGAAACUGCCUGAUGGAGGGGGAUAACUACUGGAAACGGUAGCUAAUACCGCAUACCAUCAGAUGUGCCCAGAUGGGAUUAGCUGGUGGGUGGGGUAAUGGCUCACCUAGGCGACGAUCCCUAGCUGGUCUGAGAGGAUGACCAGCCACACGGGAACUGAGACACGUGCCAGACUCCUACGGGAGGCAGCAGUGGGGAAUAUUGCACAAUGGGCGCAAGCCUGAUGCAGACAUGCCGCGUGUAUGAAGAAGGCCUUCGGUGUGUAAAGUACUUUCAGCGGGGAGGCGUUACCCGCAGAAGAAGCACCGGCUAACUACGUGCCAGCAGCCGCGGUAAUAC
rnacentral:rRNA from 1 species